UACGGAGGGUGCAAGCGUUAUCCGGAAUCAUUGGGUUUAAAGGGUGCGUAGGCGGCCAAUUAAGUCAGGGGUGAAAUCCCGCAGCUCAACUGCGGAACUGCCCUUGAAACUGACUGGCUUGAGUACAGACGAGGUAGGCGGAAUUUAUGGUGUAGCGGUGAAAUGCAUAGAUACCAUAAAGAACACCGAUAGCGAAGGCAGCUUACUGGACUGUAACUGACGCUGAUGCACGAAAGCGCGGGUAGCGAACAGG
rnacentral:rRNA from 1 species